rnacentral:rRNA from 1 species
GGGUUGUGAGGUUAAGCGACUAAGCGUACACGGUGGAUGCCCUGGCAGUCAGAGGCGAUGAAGGGCGUGCUAAUCUGCGAUAAGCGCCGGUAAGGUGAUAUGAACCGUUAUAACCGGCGAUACCCGAAUGGGGAAACCCAGUGUGAUUCGUCACACUAUCAUUAACUGAAUCCAUAGGUUAAUGAGGCGAACCGGGGAACUGAAACAUCUAAGUACCCCGAGGAAAAGAAAUCAACCGAGAUUCCCCCAGUAGCGGCGAGCGAACGGGGAGGAGCCCAGAGCCUGAAUCAGCAUGUGUGUUAGUGGAAGCGUCUGGAAAGGCGCGCGAUACAGGGUGACAGCCCCGUACACAAAAGCGCAUGUGCUGUGAGCUCGAUGAGUAGGGCGGGACACGUGGUAUCCUGUCUGAAUAUGGGGGGACCAUCCUCCAAGGCUAAAUACUCCUGACUGACCGAUAGUGAACCAGUACCGUGAGGGAAAGGCGAAAAGAACCCCGGCGAGGGGAGUGAAAAAGAACCUGAAACCGUGUACGUACAAGCAGUGGGAGCACAGGUUUACCUGUGUGACUGCGUACCUUUGUAUAAUGGGUCAGCGACUUAUAUUCUGUAGCAAGGUUAACCGAAUAGGGAGCCGGAGGGAAACCGAGUCUUAAUUGGGCGUUAAGUUGCAGGGUAUAGACCCGAAACCCGGUGAUUCAGCCAUGGGCAGGUUGAAGGUUGGGUAACACUAACUGGAGGACCGAACCGACUAAUGUUGAAAAAUUAGCGGAUGACCUGUGGCUGGGGUGAAAGGCCAAUCAAACCGGGAGAUAGCUGGUUCUCCCCGAAAGCUAUUUAGGUAGCGCCUCGUGAAUUCAUCUCCGGGGUAGAGCACUGUUUCGGCUAGGGGGCCAUCCCGGCUUACCAACCCGAUGCAAACUGCGAAUACCGGAGAAUGUUAUCACGGGAGACACACGGCGGGUGCUAACGUCCGUCGUGAAGAGGGAAACAACCCAGACCGCCAGCUAAGGUCCCAAAGUCAUGGUUAAGUGGGAAACGAUGUGGGAAGGCCCAGACAGCCAGGAUGUUGGCUUAGAAGCAGCCAUCAUUUAAAGAAAGCGUAAUAGCUCACUGGUCGAGUCGGCCUGCGCGGAAGAUGUAACGGGGCUAAACCAUGCACCGAAGCUGCGGCAGCGACACUGUGUGUUGUUGGGUAGGGGAGCGUUCUGUAAGCCUGUGAAGGUGUGUCGUGAGGCAUGCUGGAGGUAUCAGAAGUGCGAAUGCUGACAUAAGUAACGAUAAAGCGGGUGAAAAGCCCGCUCGCCGGAAGACCAAGGGUUCCUGUCCAACGUUAAUCGGGGCAGGGUGAGUCGACCCCUAAGGCGAGGCCGAAAGGCGUAGUCGAUGGGAAACGGGUUAAUAUUCCCGUACUUGGUGUUACUGCGAAGGGGGGACGGAGAAGGCUAUGUUGGCCGGGCGACGGUUGUCCCGGUUUAAGCGUGUAGGUGUGUGUUCAGGUAAAUCCGGUUCACUUUAACACUGAGGCGUGACGACGAGGCACUACGGUGCUGAAGCAACAAAUGCCCUGCUUUCAGGUGAAAGCCUCUAAGCAUCAGGUAACAUCAAAUCGUACCCCAAACCGACACAGGUGGUCAGGUAGAGAAUACCAAGGCGCUUGAGAGAACUCGGGUGAAGGAACUAGGCAAAAUGGUGCCGUAACUUCGGGAGAAGGCACGCUGACACGUAGGUGAAGUGAUUUACUCAUGGAGCUGAAGUCAGUCGAAGAUACCAGCUGGCUGCAACUGUUUAUUAAAAACACAGCACUGUGCAAACACGAAAGUGGACGUAUACGGUGUGACGCCUGCCCGGUGCCGGAAGGUUAAUUGAUGGGGUCAGCGCAAGCGAAGCUCCUGAUCGAAGCCCCGGUAAACGGCGGCCGUAACUAUAACGGUCCUAAGGUAGCGAAAUUCCUUGUCGGGUAAGUUCCGACCUGCACGAAUGGCGUAAUGAUGGCCAGGCUGUCUCCACCCGAGACUCAGUGAAAUUGAACUCGCUGUGAAGAUGCAGUGUACCCGCGGCAAGACGGAAAGACCCCGUGAACCUUUACUAUAGCUUGACACUGAACAUUGAGCCUUGAUGUGUAGGAUAGGUGGGAGGCUUUGAAGUGUGGACGCCAGUCUGCAUGGAGCCGACCUUGAAAUACCACCCUUUAAUGUUUGAUGUUCUAACGUGGACCCGUUACCCGGGUUGCGGACAGUGUCUGGUGGGUAGUUUGACUGGGGCGGUCUCCUCCUAAAGAGUAACGGAGGAGCACGAAGGUUGGCUAAUCCUGGUCGGACAUCAGGAGGUUAGUGCAAUGGCAUAAGCCAGCUUGACUGCGAGCGUGACGGCGCGAGCAGGUGCGAAAGCAGGUCAUAGUGAUCCGGUGGUUCUGAAUGGAAGGGCCAUCGCUCAACGGAUAAAAGGUACUCCGGGGAUAACAGGCUGAUACCGCCCAAGAGUUCAUAUCGACGGCGGUGUUUGGCACCUCGAUGUCGGCUCAUCACAUCCUGGGGCUGAAGUAGGUCCCAAGGGUAUGGCUGUUCGCCAUUUAAAGUGGUACGCGAGCUGGGUUUAGAACGUCGUGAGACAGUUCGGUCCCUAUCUGCCGUGGGCGCUGGAGAACUGAGGGGGGCUGCUCCUAGUACGAGAGGACCGGAGUGGACGCAUCACUGGUGUUCGGGUUGUCAUGCCAAUGGCACUGCCCGGUAGCUAAAUGCGGAAGAGAUAAGUGCUGAAAGCAUCUAAGCACGAAACUUGCCCCGAGAUGAGUUCUCCCUGAGACUUAGAGUCUCCUGAAGGAACGUUGAAGACGACGACGUUGAUAGGCCGGGUGUGUAAGCGCAGCGAUGCGUUGAGCUAACCGGUACUAAUGAACCGUGAGGCUUAACCUUACAACGCCGAAG